rnacentral:rRNA from 1 species
AGCCUGAUCCAGCGCGCCGCGUGUGUGAAGAAGGCCUUCGGGUUGUAAAGCNCUUUUGUCCGGNAAGAAAUCCUUGGGUCUAAUACAGACGGGGGAUGACNGUACCGGUAAGAAUAAGCCCCGGCUAACUACGUGCCAGCAGCCGCGGUAAUACUUACGGCGCGGAGCGUUAAUCGGAAUUACUGGGCUUAAAGCGUGCUGCAAGCCGUUUGCUUAGACCGAUGUGAAAUCCCCGGCUUAACCUGGUAACUGCAUUGGUGACUGGCAGGCUUUAGUAUGGCAGAGGGGGGUGGAAUUCCACGUGUAGCAAUGACAUGCGUAAAGAUGUGGAGAAUACCGAUGGCUAACGCUGCCCCCUGGGCCAAUACUGACCCUCAUGCACUAAAGCCUGGGGAGCACACCGCNUUAAAUACCCUGGUUUUCCACGCCCUAAACGAUGUCAACUAGUUGUUGGGGAUU